rnacentral:rRNA from 1 species
AACGCGAAGAACCUUACCAGCCCUUGACAUCCCGGUCGCGGGAACGAGAGAUCGAUCCCUUCAGUUCGGCUGGACCGGAGACAGGUGCUGCAUGGCUGUCGUCAGCUCGUGUCGUGAGAUGUUGGGUUAAGUCCCGCAACGAGCGCAACCCUUGUCCUGUGUUACCAUGCCGAAAGGCGGCACUCGCAGGAGACCGCCAGCGAUAAGCUGGAGGAAGGUGGGGAUGACGUCAAGUCCUCAUGGCCUUUAUGUCCAGGGCUACACACGUGCUACAAUGGGCGGUACAAAGCGCUGCUAAGCCGCAAGGCGGAGCCAAUCGCAAAAAGCCGCUCUCAGUUCGGAUUGCAGGCUGCAACUCGCCUGCAUGAAGCUGGAAUCGCUAGUAAUGCUAUAUCAGAACGAUAGCGUGAAUACGUUCCCGGGCCUUGUACACACCGCGCAUA